rnacentral:tRNA from 1 species
GCCAGUGGUGCUCAGUGGAUAGAGCGUCGGCCUGUGGACUGAAAGGUCCCGGGUUCGAUUCCCGUCAAGGGCA